UACGUAGGGGGCGAGCGUUGUCCGGAUUCAUUGGGCGUAAAGAGCGCGUAGGCGGCCGUGUAAGUCGGUUGUGAAAUCCCGGGGCUCAACCCCGGGACUGCGUCCGAUACUGCACGGCUCGAGGCAGGUAGGGGAGAGUGGAAUUCCCGGUGUAGCGGUGAAAUGCGCAGAUAUCGGGAGGAACACCGGUGGCGAAGGCGGCCCUCUGGGCCUGGCCUGACGCUGAGGCGCGAAAGCUAGGGGAGCGAACAGG
rnacentral:rRNA from 1 species